ACUGGAUCCCUAGUAGCGGCGAGCGAAGCGGGAAGAGCUCAAAUUUAUAAUCUGGCACCUUCGGUGUCCGAGUUGUAAUCUCUAGAAAUGUUUUCCGCGCUGGACCGCACACAAGUCUGUUGGAAUACAGCGGCAUAGUGGUGAGACCCCCGUAUAUGGUGCGGAUGCCCAGCGCUUUGUGAUACAUUUUCGAAGAGUCGAGUUGUUUGGGAAUGCAGCUCAAAUUGGGUGGUAAAUUCCAUCUAAAGCUAAAUAUUGGCGAGAGACCGAUAGCGAACAAGUACCGUGAGGGAAAGAUGAAAAGCACUUUGGAAAGAGAGUUAACAGUACGUGAAAUUGUUGGAAGGGAAACGCUUGAAGUCAGACUUGCUUGCCGAGCAAUCGGUUUGCAGGCCAGCAUCAGUUUUCCGGGAUGGAUAAUGGUAGAGAGAAGGUAGCAGUUUCGGCUGUGUUAUAGCUCUCUACUGGAUACAUCUUGGGGGACUGAGGAACGCAGUGUGCCUUACGGCGGGGGUUUCGACCUCUUCACACUUAGGAUGCUGGUGGAAUGGCUUUAAACGACCCGUCUUGAACMACGGACAC
rnacentral:rRNA from 1 species